UCAUGACUAUGAAAAUUGUAGAGUCACACUGAAGGCAUCAAGGGCUAUUUGACCAAGAAGGAGAGUGAUGGGGUAAUGCCCCAGAUGACCUGGCCUCCACAGUCACCGGACCUGAACCCAAUCGAGAUGGUUUAGGGGUGAGCUGGACCGCAGACAGAAGGCAAAAGGGCCAACAAGUGCUAAGCAUCUCUCGGGGAACUCCUUCAAGACUGUUGGAAGACCAUUUCAGAUUUGAGGGAAAGAUUAAAAACAAGGAGGUCUGGGAAUGACUGAAGGGAACUGACAGCAGUGAGGGAAGGAAGUUAUCACCAGAAUCUCAGAGAAGGAUGUUGACAGUGCAGGCCCAGGAUGAAGAAGAGGAGGAAGAACACGUUUAACAAUUUUCUCAUAAGCUUGCCAUGUGUUAUAAUAAAAACAAUGAACAUGGCUACAAUAAUAUGCUAAAUGUUAUUAAAAGAUUCCAGUUUGCAAGAAGUCUUGAGUGUCUGACUCUACACUAGAGGAACUCUUUUCUGAAGAAGAUCAGGUGCUGAGAAGAAGCCUUGUUCUACAGCAAAACACUGCAUCAAACCUCCUGUCCUUCCCUCAGAAGAGCCUGUCUUCUGCUGCUGGGGUAAGAAACACCCUCUUCCUCUUCUCUAUCAGCUGUCCAGCACCUAACUCUGCCUCCUCAGCACUGUCUGAAAGAGUCUUCUCCACAGUCAGUAAUCACAGAUCACAGAUUCUUCUGAGAAAGUCGAUAUGCUCAUUUUCUUAAAAAACUUUGUUUUUUUCGGGUGGGACAAAUAAUACAGGAGAGAUGCUUGAAAUCUCUAUAUUGUUCAUUUUUCAUAUCUUUACGCUUUAUGAAUGUUUUUCUUCUGAGAAGCUCAAAAAUUAUGGUUCUUUGGUAAUUGUUAUAUUGUUUAGGUUUAUCCUCUGAUAGUGAGCACAGAGCCCUGAUCAUGACAUGCAAGAAAAAGAAAGAAAUCAUGUCCAUGAUUUACUAAUUCGUUCCCUCUAUGUACUAAACGUGCACGAUUACUUUUACAUUUCAUUGAUUUGCUAAAUCGUUUGCACAAUUUACUAAUUCGUUCUCUUGAUGUAUAAAUAGUGUACACGUUUUAGCAAAUCGAGGGAAUGAAAUAGAAAAUCGUGCGCAUGAAUUAGCCUAAAUUUUUUCCUGCAUGUCGUGUAAUUAAAGCACAUCACCACCAGACAUUUAUACCAGGAGCCUCAUAUACGACGCUCACAGUUUUACUUUGUGCAGUAUCUCUGUGCAGUAUCUGCUGAAUUGUUUCAUAUCUAUUUAUCAUGUAUUUUUUGUUGCACUAAAUUAUGUUGUAUCAAUAAGUUUACUGAUAAUUAUUUUUAAUUUUCACUAAUAACGUCAUUAACCAUCUCCCCAUCUUUAAGACAAAAAUUUUCUAUUGUUUAUAUUGUGUAAUCUAUGAAUUGAUGUGUUUAGUUUUCUGUGCUCAUAACUUAGUAACAUUUUGCAUGUUUAAAGAACAGGUGCGAUGUUCAAAAUGUUUUGGCUUCGUAUUUGUACAAAGUAGUGCUGAAUAAAUAUUGAUUUGUGAAUGAA